UUCACGAGGUGAGUCUUCUCACUAUACUGUACCCGGAAGGGUUUUGACUGUGUGACCGGAAGGUCGGAUAUGGUAUGAGACGUAUGUGCUAUAUGUGAAAAGUUAAUUGUUAUAUGCGCUAAGUAUAAUAUGCUUGAUAUGGGCCGGAAGGCAUUAUGUUAUGGGCCGGAAGGCGAAUAUGUUAUGGGCCGGAAGGCGUUGUAAUGUGGACCGUAAGGUUGGCGUGGGUAGGACCGGAAGGUUUACCCAGCAGGGACGGAAGUCCCCUGAGACACAUGGACCGGAAGGUCAGGGCCUGGAAAGGCGUAUGUGCGUAAGUUGUAUUUUGGGGAACUCACUAAGCAUUUAUGCUUACAGUUGUUGUGUAUGUGUUUCAGGUACUAGCGAGGACCGUGGGAAGGCGCCGGCGUGAUCUGUACACACUGAUGGAUGAUUUAUGAUCUUGGGAUUUAUAUGAUUGUAUUAUGACAUGAUACGUUGGAUAUUUAUGCCUUGUUUUGGAUGAAAAUACAUUUUUAGAAAUGAAAAUUUUGUUUUAAAAUUUCCGUUGUUACAAUUUGGUAUCAGAGCCUUGGUUUGAGGGAUUCGGGUACACCUUCGGGCGUAACUGAACUCAAACCGAGGAUUUGAGGAAAACUUUUAAAAACAAAGGCAUAAAAUUUUUAUAAAGGAUUUUGUGGUAAACAAAAAUGAAGCAGUGUGUACGAUCAGCCAGCGCCCGAACGGUAAAGAUCCCCAAAAUACCCUUACAAUGAUGUGUUAAGAGAUAUGAUAUGAUAUGAAUUGUUAUGCAUGCUAGAAGACUAGGUAUUCAUGAUAGGACUAGAGUGGCCUGAUUUGUGAUGCCUUAGUCUAGGGAAGUCUGUUGCUAUGAGAUGCUUUGUGAGCGAGCGGGUGGUUAGUGCAUAACAAGAGUAGAGUACUCAGGAUCCGGGGUUUGGGGAGGAGGACUUGGGAUGAAUGCUGAUGCGGUGUAGUCGGUAGUAUUGGGCCCGUACUACCGAAGACACCGGGUCAGUGGGCGACCCAAGUAAGAAUCCCUGGGUAUCGGAGACUGAGUAGGGUUGCGUUAUCGAGUGCGAUUAUGCUCGAUAGAGUCUCUGAUAGUUCUAUGUUGUAUUUCAGAGGCAUCAUGGUUGGACCACGCCACAGACCGAGUACGAGCAAUGUGAGUGACGAGGAGAUUCGUCAGAUGAUUCAUGAGGAGGGGGCUGCAGCGAUCCGGGCUG
rnacentral:lncRNA from 1 species